rnacentral:rRNA from 1 species
NAGUCGAGCGGUAAGGCCCUUCGGGGUACACGAGCGGCGAACGGGUGAGUAACACGUGAGUAAUCUGCCCUUCACUUCGGGAUAAGCGCUGGAAACGGCGUCUAAUACCGGAUACGAGCUGCGAAGGCAUCUUCAGCAGUUGGAAAGAAUUUCGGUCAGGGAUGAGCUCGCGGCCUAUCAGCUUGUUGGUGAGGUAAUGGCUCACCAAGGCGUCGACGGGUAGCCGACCUGAGAGGGUGACCGGCCACACUGGGACUGAGACACGGCCCAGACUCCUACGGGAGGCAGCAGUGGGGAAUAUUGCACAAUGGGCGGAAGCCUGAUGCAGCAACGCCGCGUGAGGGAUGACGGCCUUCGGGUUGUAAACCUCUUUUAGCAGGGAAGAAGCGAAAGUGACGGUACCUGCAGAAAAAGCGCCGGCUAACUACGUGCCA